rnacentral:misc_RNA from 1 species
GAUGAAGAACGUAGCGAAAUGCGAUACGUAAUGUGAAUUGCAGAAUUCAGUGAAUCAUCGAGUCUUUGAACGCACAUUGCGCCCCCUGGUAUUCCGGGGGGCAUGCCUGUCCGAGCGUCAUUGCUGCCCUCAAGCACGGCUUGUGUGUUGGGCCUCCGCCCCCCGGCUCCCGGGGGGCGGGCCCGAAAGGCAGCGGCGGCACCGCGUCCGGUCCUCGAGCGUAUGGGGCUUCGUCACCCGCUCCGUAGGCCCGGCCGGCGCCCGCCGGCGACCCCCCUCAAUCUUUCCAGGUUGACCUCGGAUCAGGUAGGGAUACCCGCUGAACUUAAGCAUAUCAAUAAGCGGAAGA